GAUGAACGCUAGCGGGAGGCCUAAUACAUGCAAGUCGAGCGGUAGAGUGACUUCGGUUGCUUGAGAGCGGCGAACGGGUGAGUAACGCGUACACAAUCUACCUUUAAGAGGGGAAUAGCCCUGGGAAACUGGGAUUAAUGCCCCAUGGCAUCACGAAGUGGCAUCGCUUUGUGAUUAAAGCUGAGGUGCUUAGAGAUGAGUGUGCGUCUGAUUAGCUAGUUGGUGCGGUAACGGCGCACCAAGGCGACGAUCAGUAGGGGGCGUGAGAGCGUGGACCCCCACCACGGGUACGUGAGACACGGACCCGACCUCCUACGGGGAGGCAGCAG
rnacentral:rRNA from 1 species